AAUCUACCCUUGGGAGGGGAACAACAGCUGGAAACGGUUGCUAAUACCCUAUAGAGUUAGUACCUCCUAGAGGUAGGCUGAGGAGCAAAAGGGAGGAAUUCGCCCAAGGAGGAGCUCACGUCUGAUUAGCUAGUUGGUGAGGCAAUAGCUCACCAAGGCUACGAUCAGUAGUUGGUCUGAGAGGAUGAUCAGCCACACUGGGACUGAGACAAGGCCCAGACUCCUACGGGAGGCAGCAGUGAGGAAUUUUCCGCAAUGGGCGAAAGCCUGACGGAGCAAUGCCGCGUGAAGGAAGAAGGCUCGCGAGUCGUAAACUUCUUUUCUCAGAGAAGAAAGAAUGACGGUAUCUGAGGAAUAAGCAUCGGCUAACUCUGUGCCAGCAGCCGCGGUAAAACAGAGGAUGCAAGCGUUAUCCGGAAUUAUUGGGCGUAAAGUGUCUGUAGGUGGCUUUUCAAGUCCCUCGUCAAAUACCAGGGCUUAACCCUGGACAGGCGUUGGAAACUACCAAGCUGGAGUGCGGUAGGGGCAGAGGGAAUUUCCGGUGGAGCGGUGAAAUGCGCUGAGAUCGGGAAGAACACCAACAAGCGAAAGCACUCUGCUGGGCCGUAACUGACACUUAGAGACUAAAGCUAGGGGAGCAAAUGGGAUUAGAGACCCCAGUAGUCCUAGCCGUAAACGAUGGAUACUAAGUGCUAUACGUAUCGACCCGUAUAGUGCUGCAGCUAACGCGCUAAGUAUCCCGCCUGGGAAGUACGUUCGCAAGAAUGAAACUC
rnacentral:rRNA from 1 species